rnacentral:rRNA from 1 species
AACGAACGCUGGCGGCAUGCCUAACACAUGCCAGUCGAACGAGAUCUUCGGGUCUAGUGGCGCACGGGUGUGUAACGCGUGGGAACCUGACCUUAGGCUCGGCAUCACCACCCGCAAGGGGUGCUAAUACCGGUUCAUGUCUUCGGACCAAAGAUUUAUCGCCUGUGGAUGGGCCCGCGUUGGAUUAGCUAGUUGGUAGGGUAAAAGCCUACCAAGGCGACGAUCCAUAGCUGGUCUGAGAGGAUGAUCAGCCACACUGGGACUGAGACACGGCCCAGACUCCUACGGGAGGCAGCAGUGGGGAAUAUUGGACAAUGGGCGAGAGCCUGAUCCAGCUAUGCCGCGUGAGUGAUGAAGGCCUUAGGGUUGGAAAGUUCUUUUACCCGGGAAGAUAAUGACAGUACCGGGAGAAUAAGCUCCGGCUAACUCCGUG